rnacentral:sRNA from 1 species
GGCCUAAACUCUAUAUUUAUAGAGCAUGGCUUAAAAUCAUAACGCAUAUUGACCCCGUCAUUCAGGGCAUGCGUUAUGUUAUGCAGGGAAACUUGUAUAUAGGCUUAGGCCU